rnacentral:miRNA from 1 species
CCAUGUCCCUUCUUUGGACAGGCUUUGCUCUGAGAUAGAGGCUGGUUUUUCACAAGGACUUGGGAGGCUGAGGCAGGAGGAU